GUAGGGGUCUGCGAGAGUCUCGAAUUAAGACUCUUCUUCGGGGCAGUGGACCAGGGCUGUGGUCUCAAAUCCAACAAACUCCAACCUCAAACCUGAUACCUCGAACUAACGUCAAUUGCCGGAAGAAAACUAAGAAAACCUGUGUUAUGUUUAAAUGCGAUAUAGGUAAAGAGAUUAAAAGGAAUGGAGCUUAAGAUUUUUUAAAAUUGUUUAUUUUUUUGGAUAAAGCGAGUAAUAACAGUAGGCUUUAAGGAGUUAACAACGACGACUAAAAAUAUGAGUUUGAGGGUAAAAUGAGCGUCUCAACCCUUAGUUUUUUUGGGGGUAAAAGACGUGGCUGAAGCCUUCCCCGAAAAUCUCUUCAAAGGUCAGUAUUUAUAGGUUGAUUUCUAAGGUUCUUAGUUUGGGCGAGAUUUCAAAAUUGAGUGAAUGCUAUUGAACGUUAAUGUUGCAGAAAAUUAAUUAAGGUGCAGAGCUUCUUGUUAAAAAUGGUAAUGGCAAGUUCUGUCAUGACUGAGCAAGAAUAGAAUUUUGUGAAUAAGAGAAAAGAGAGGAGAAUAAGCGUCUGUUGGGUUAGGAGAGAGAGAAC
rnacentral:lncRNA from 1 species